UACGUAGGGUGCGAGCGUUGUCCGGAAUUAUUGGGCGUAAAGAGCUUGUAGGCGGUUUGUCGCGUCUGCUGUGAAAUCUCAAGGCUCAACCUUGAGCUUGCAGUGGGUACGGGCAGACUAGAGUGUGGUAGGGGAGACUGGAAUUCCUGGUGUAGCGGUGAAAUGCGCAGAUAUCAGGAGGAACACCGAUGGCGAAGGCAGGUCUCUGGGCCACGACUGACGCUGAGAAGCGAAAGCAUGGGGAGCGAACAGG
rnacentral:rRNA from 1 species